CACCAUUAGAGGCAGUUUUGGGUAGUAACGAAGACCCCUGGAAGAGGUUGUUUAAUAAGAAAAAUAUUUAAAAUAGAACAGCCAAGCACUUACUAUAUACUCAGUGAAAUUUAGCUCUUAGACAGUUUUAGUCAGUUUUCCUUUACUGUGACAAAAUACCUGAGAUACUCAACUUACAAAAAAGAAAACAUUUAUUUUGGCUCAUGAUUUCAGCCAAAGUUGGCUGGUUCCAUUACUUUAAGGUCUUGUGGAGAAGCAGAACAUCAUGGUGGGAUCACAUAGUGAAAAAAGCCGCUCACCUCCUAGCAGUAAGGAAGUAGAAAGCGAGCUUGCUUUUUGUAACAAAGCCCCUCUCCCCUAAGCUCGAACCCAAAAAUGAAUUAAUACAUUCCUGAAAUCAGAGCCCUCAUGAUCCAAUCACUUCCCGAAAACCCCACCUCAGCAUUGUGGUCCAAGCCUGUGAACUUUUGGGGGACAUUAAAGAUCUAAACCAUAACAUUAUUAUUGGUUAUAUCGAGUCUUCUCUCUCUUGUUAU
rnacentral:lncRNA from 1 species